rnacentral:rRNA from 1 species
GGCGGACGGGUGAGUAACACGUGGGCAACCUGCCUGUAAGACUGGGAUAACUCCGGGAAACCGGGGCUAAUACCGGAUAACUCUUUUCUCUGCAUAGGGAGAAGAUAAAAGAUGGCUUCGGCUAUCACUUACAGAUGGGCCCGCGGCGCAUUAGCUAGUUGGUGAGGUAAGGGCUCACCAAGGCGACGAUGCGUAGCCGACCUGAGAGGGUGAUCGGCCACACUGGGACUGAGACACGGCCCAGACUCCUACGGGAGGCAGCAGUAGGGAAUCUUCGGCAAUGGACGAAAGUCUGACCGAGCAACGCCGCGUGAGUGAGGAAGGCCUUCGGGUCGUAAAGCUCUGUUGUCAGGGAAGAACAAGUACCGUUCGAACAGGGCGGUACCUUGACGGUACCUGACCAGAAAGCCACGGCUAACUACGUGCCAGCAGCCGCGGUAAUACGUAGGUGGCAAGCGUUGCCCGGAAUUAUUGGGCGUAAAGCGCGCGCAGGCGGUCUCUUAAGUCUGAUGUGAAAGCCCACGGCUCAACCGUGGAGGGUCAUUGGAAACUGGGGGACUUGAGUACUGGAGAGGAGAGUGGAAUUCCACGUGUAGCGGUGAAAUGCGUAGAUAUGUGGAGGAACACCAGUGGCGAAGGCGGCU